GAUUUUCCCAGCAGGCUGUGAACCAGUCAGACCAAGCAUGCAGCACUUAGUUGGGAGAAUUGGUGUGGGAUGAGUCAGUACCACGCUGUGUCUGCAGCCUGCUCCUGUUGGUGAUGAGGAAGUGGCUCCUGUGCUGUAUCACCUCCGAGUCAUGCAGUCCAGAGUACGAACUGGAAUGGUGGCAAAGAGGAUCAGCUGCCUUUUGAGGUGGUCUUUAAAAGGAAGAAGUGCCAUUCAACCAGCAGAAAACAAGUGAGUGUCAAGAGCAGACUUCUACCCAGCAUGAAGUGAGAAAGUUAAGAGAGGAGGUUUGUAAGAGU
rnacentral:lncRNA from 12 species